rnacentral:rRNA from 1 species
GACGAACGCUGGCGGCGUGCUUAACACAUGCAAGUCGAGCGGUAAGGCCCUUUCGGGGGUACGACGAGCGGCGAACGGGUGAGUAACACGUGGGUGGACCUGCCCUCCAGCUCUGGGGAUAAGCCUGGGAAACCGGGGUCUAAUACUGGAUAUGACUCCAUGACGCAUGUUGUGGGGUGGAAAGCCUUGUGCGGCUGAGGAUGGGCCCGCGGCCUAUCAGCUUGUUGGUGGGGUGAUGGCCUACCAAGGCGACGACGGGUAGCCGGCCUGA